CCUACGGGAGGCAGCAGUGAGGAAUAUUGGUCAAUGGACGAGAGUCUGAACCAGCCAAGUAGCGUGAAGGAUGACUGCCCUAUGGGUUGUAAACUUCUUUUAUAUGGGAAUAAACCAGGGUAUGCAUACCCUCUUGUAUGUACAAUAUGAAUAAGGAUCGGCUAACCCCGUGCCAGCAGCCGCGGUAAUAUGGAGGAUCCGAGCGUUACGCGGAUUUAUUGGGUUUAAAGGGAGCGUAGGUGGAUUGUUAAGUCAGUUGUGAAAGGUUGCGGCUCAACCGUAAAAUUGCAGUUGAAACUGGCAGUCUUGAGUACAGUAGAGGUGGGCAGAAUUCGUGGUGUAGCGGUGAAAUGCGUAGAUAUCACGAAGAACUCCGGUUGCGAAGGCAGCUCACUGGAC
rnacentral:rRNA from 1 species